rnacentral:rRNA from 1 species
AAACCAACAGGGAUUGCCUUAGUAACGGCGAGUGAAGCGGCAAAAGCUCAAAUUUGAAAUCUGGAGCCUUCGGCUUCCGAGUUGUAAUUUGAAGAGGGAGUUUCGGUCGUGGCCUCUGCCUAAGUUCCUUGGAACAGGACGUCAUGGAGGGUGAGAAUCCCGUACAUGGCUGGCGGCCCACUUCCAUGUGAAACCCCUUCGAAGAGUCGAGUUGUUUGGGAAUGCAGCUCAAAAUGGGUGGUAAAUUUCAUCUAAAGCUAAAUAUUGGCGGGAGACCGAUAGCGCACAAGUAGAGUGAUCGAAAGAUGAAAAGCACUUUGAAAAGAGAGUUAAACAGUACGUGAAAUUGUUGAAAGGGAAGCGCUUGCAAUCAGACUCACUUUCGGUUGAUCAGCGUUACCUUUUGGUGCGUGCACUCUGCCGUUUGUGGGCCAGCAUCGGUUGGAGCGGUGGGACAAAGGCGGCAGGAAUGUGGCUCUCUUCGGGGAGUGUUAUAGCCUGCUGUGUCAUGCCACCAGCUCCGACCGAGGUCCGCGGUUCGCCUAGGAUGCUGGCUUAAUGGUUGUAAGCGACCCGUCUUGAAACACGGACCAAGGAGUCUAACAUCUAUGCGAGUCUUUGGGUGUCAAACCCAUGGGCGUAAUGAAAGUGAACGGAGGUGGGAGUUUCGACGCACCAUCGACCGAUCCUGAUGUUCUCGGAUGGAUUUGAGUAGGAGCAUAGCUGUUGGGACCCGAAAGAUGGUGAACUAUGCCUGAAUAGGGUGAAGCCAGAGGAAACUCUGGUGGAGGCUCGCAGCGGUUCUGACGUGCAAAUCGAUCGUCAAAUUUGGGUAUAGGGGCGAAAGACUAAUCGAACCAUCUAGUAGCU